GAGGCAGCCGACCACGGUAGGGUCAGCGACUGGGGUGAAGUCGUAACAAGGUAGCCGUAGGGGAACCUGCGGCUGGAUCACCUCCUUU
rnacentral:ncRNA from 1 species